ACUUAAGCAUAUCAAUAAGCGGAGGAAAAGAAACCAACAGGGAUUGCCUCAGUAACGGCGAGUGAAGCGGCAAAAGCUCAAAUUUGGAAUCUCAGUCUUUCAGGCUGCGAGUUGUAAUUUGAAGACGUAUUUUGAAGUAAGCACAUGUCGAAGUUCCUUGGAACAGGACGUCACAGAGGGUGAGAAUCCCGUGCGAUGUGUUCACUGCUUCAUGUAAAAUGCAGUCGAAGAGUCGAGUUGUUUGGGAAUGCAGCUCUAAGUGGGUGGUAAAUUCCAUCUAAAGCUAAAUAUUGGCGAGAGACCGAUAGCGAACAAGUACAGUGAUGGAAAGAUGAAAAGAACUUUGAAAAGAGAGUGAAAAAGUACGUGAAAUUGUUGAAAGGGAAGGGCUUGAGAUCAGACUCGGGCAACCGGGCCAGCAUGGGGUGGGGGAGUAGGAUAACCCUGCAGGAAAGUGGCUUCGCUUCGGUGGAGUGUUAUAGCCUGUAGCUAUACUGCUACCCUCGCCCGAGGACUGCGGAAACAAGGAUGCUGGCAUAAUGAUCUUAAGCCGCCCGUCUUGAA
rnacentral:rRNA from 1 species